rnacentral:rRNA from 1 species
AUUGAACGCUGGCGGCAUGCCUUACACAUGCAAGUCGAACGGCAGCACGGGAGCAAUCCUGGUGGCGAGUGGCGAACGGGUGAGUAAUGUAUCGGAACGUGCCCAGUCGUGGGGGAUAACGCAGCGAAAGCUGUGCUAAUACCGCAUACGAUCUAUGGAUGAAAGCGGGGGAUCGCAAGACCUCGCGCGAUUGGAGCGGACGAUAUCAGAUUAGGUAGUUGGUGGGGUAAAGGCCCACCAAGCCUGCGAUCUGUAGCUGGUCUGAGAGGACGACCAGUCACACUGGAACUGAGACACGGUCCAGACUCCUACGGGAGGCAGCAGUGGGGAAUUUUGGAUAAUGGGCGCAAGCCUGAUCCAGCAAUGCCGCGCGCAGGAUGAAGGCCUUCGGGUUGUAAACUGCUUUUGUACGGAGCGAAACGGCUCUCACUAAUACUGGGGGCUAAUGACGGUACCGUAAGAAUAAGCACCGGCUAACUACGUGCCAGCCGCCGCGGUAA